GUCUUUUAAUUGAAGGCUGGUAUGAAUGGUUGGAUGAAAAAUAUACUUUCUUUAUUUUAUAUAAAAAAUUUAAUUUUUUAGUUAAAAAACUGAAAUAAUAUUAUAGGACGAGAAGACCCUAUAGAACUUUAUUAUAUAAUUUAUAUAAUUUUUCAGUUUAUUAUAGAAUAAUAUUUAAAAAUUAAUUUUGUUGGGGUGAUAGAAAAAAUUAUAAAACUUUUUCUAAUUAAUACAUUUAUUGAUGUAUAUUUGAUCCUAUAUUUUGGAUAAAAAGAUUAAGUUACCUUAGGGAUAACAGCGUUAUUUUUUCGGAGAGUUCAUAUCGAUGAAAAAGUUUGCGACCUCGAUGUUGGAUUAAAAAUAAGUAGUGGGGGUAGAAUAUCAUUAUACUAGUCUGUUCGACCUUUAAAUUUUUACA
rnacentral:rRNA from 1 species